rnacentral:lncRNA from 1 species
UGGCUAGCUCAAUUGCUUAGUUAGCGAGUCUGUCACGUUGUCUGUGAAGUCUACUCUUCGCACCUCGACAUAUUUUUUUCGAGGUAGUCACGUAUAAUACAAAACCACCGCUCGAUGUGCUUUCAUUUCUGAUGAGACUUCAGCUCCUUAGUAAGUGCUAUGGCUUCAUUACUGUCGCAAUACAGUGGUAUGGUAUCUGAAGUCAUUAUCCUAAGCUCUAUGAUGAACUUUUUGAACUAGAAGUCUUUUUUUACAGCA